CUUUUCAAGAGUGGGUGUGGGUGUGGGUGUUGAGACAUUACACAGGCUUAGAGAAGAAGAAAGGAGGAUGUCGCGAAGUCGAUUGUUAUGGUUCACGUUCGGGUUCGCGUCCACAUACGUCGCGCUUUACCAAACCGUUUUGAAGGACCUCACGCUUCAGCGUCACGCGUUUACCUCUCACACGGAACGCUAUUUUCGCAUUCUCGAAGCCAGACUCUCCAACAUCGAACAAUCCUCUUCUUCUUCUUCUGUUCCCGCUCCCAAUCAGGUUGAAGGCUAGAUAACUCUAUCAGGUCCAGUGAAAUGAUUUCUACUUGGUUCUAUGGGAUUUAUGCUUGAUUCAAAACGUUUGUUGAGGAAAUGGCCAUUAUAAAACAGACGCCAAGGCAAAGGAUAAAAUUCUUACCUGCUUUUUUUUUUCGCUCCGGAGAAAUUAACCAACUGUGUCUGUGACGAGAAAAUGAAAAGAAUGUAGUGAAGUUCUCUCUGUCAUGUUAUUAAAUGCCAUGCUUUUGUUGUACAGCUCCAAAAGCUUGAAUUUUUAACUCUCUUUUAUAUUAUUAUUAGCAAAUUUUGAUGAAA